GUAUAAGAGACAGCAGCCGCCGCGGUAAUACAGAGGGUGCGAGCGUUAAUCGGAUUUACUGGGCGUAAAGCGUGCGUAGGCGGCUUUUUAAGUCGGAUGUGAAAUCCCUGAGCUUAACUUAGGAAUUGCAUUCGAUACUGGGAAGCUAGAGUAUGGGAGAGGAUGGUAGAAUUCCAGGUGUAGCGGUGAAAUGCGUAGAGAUCUGGAGGAAUACCGAUGGCGAAGGCAGCCAUCUGGCCUAAUACUGACGCUGAGGUACGAAAGCAUGGGGAGCAAACAGGAUUAGAUACCCGAGUAGUCCCUGUCUCUUAUAC
rnacentral:rRNA from 1 species